UAAUUGAAGAGUUUGAUCAUGGCUCAGAUUGAACGCUGGCGGCAGGCCUAACACAUGCAAGUCGAGCGGUAACAGGGGGAGCUUGCUUCUCGCUGACGAGCGGCGGACGGGUGAGUAAUGUAUGGGGAUCUGCCCGAUAGAGGGGGAUAACUACUGGAAACGGUAGCUAAUACCGCAUAAUCUCU
rnacentral:rRNA from 1 species